CUGCUUUCCAAAUCCCCAUCUUCAUCAAACUUCUAUAACAACAACAAAAAAUUCCUUCUUCGGAAAAUUCAUUAAAGUUCAAUUAAGGAUGAAUUAUAUUAAUUGAAAGGUCUACUUGCUUCUUUUGUAACUUGGAUCAGCCAAAUGCUACAGUUCAUUCUAGAGUCGGAAAUCCCAAAGGUAUUGACACAAAAUCCAAUCUUUAUCUUCUUUUUACAAGAAUUUUUAUUUUUUAAAUAAAAAAUUUAUUUAUAUUUUGUAAAUCAAUAGAAACAUUUUCAUUGUUGAUUUAGAUGUUAAAUUAUCUUGAUAUUGCAUACCACUUUAUUAGCAUACACUUUCACAACCCAAAAAAGUGUGCAGAGAAAAACUAUACUGGUUUUAUAUAGAGAAAAAGUGAUAUUUAUCAAAAAAAAAAAAAAAUAUAUAUAUAUAUAUAUAUAUAGAGAAAAAGUGAUAAGAAUAAUUGCAUGUAUUUUUUUUAUUUUACUUUUUUGUGUUUGAAAGUUACAGCAAUCUGUCUCUUACAAACAAACUAGAUCAAGCUUCCAUUUGCAAACAAAUUGGAGGCAUAUUAAAAUAAGAAAUAAAAACAUUUUUUUAUAUUUUGAUUACACUAUUUUAAUGUAUAAUCAAAAUAUACACACAUUAAAAUAUACUAUUUUAAUGUGUUGGGAAUGCAAAGAAAAAUAAAUCAACAUGUUGGAACUUGGAAACCAGCAAUCAUUCAAUCAACUACCUACUGUUUAGGUUCAUUAUUCAAUACAUUUUCAAAACCACAAACUCAUAACAUAAUUGAUAAAGGUAGAGUUACAGGACUUAACUCUUGGAAACUAGCAUAUAUCAUGGCAGAUUUUAAAACCACAAAGUCAUAUAGGUAGAGUUAUGAGGACUUAACUCUAGUAGACUACCCUAUAGCAUAGUAGAUAUAGAUCCUGUGCAUGCUCCCCUCCUCAAUUGUCUUCCUCUCUGAGCGCCGCGGCCUGUGCUUUGCCUCCCUGCGCUGCCUCCGCCUAUGUUAGUUCCAUCAAGUCAGUUUGGUACAUGAACUUAAACAUCAGUUUUCAGUUUUUAAACAACAUUACACGUAUUUUCACAUUUUUUUACUUUCACGUAUUUUCAAAAAAUACAAACAACAUUACCAAACGGGCCUUUAAUUUUGUCAGUCUAAACUUUUAAUUAUUUGAUUGGUUCAUACUAGAAACUUGCAAGCAUUAACAUUUGCAGUGAACUCAUUGACUCUACUUGCCUUGAUUUCCUUCUUGCAGGUAUUACAAAUAUAGUCGGUUGUUGGCAGGGAACGUUUGCCCUUCUUGUUUGUCCUCAGCAGGACACCGACUACUCCCCUAUUGGCCAUCCCGAAAUUCAAACAAAUAUUCAAAUUUAACUAAACAAUGUAAAGAAAUGCUCUUGCAAACAAACUGGAUUGGGCUGUUCCCAUCUCCAAUAUGCCUUCUCAGGCCUUUGUCAGGGAUGGGUGCAGCCCGAUCCAAUUUGUUUGCAGGAGCAUUUUUGUACAUUGUUUGAAUUUUAGGAUGGCCAACAGGGGAGUAGCCGGUGUCGUGCUGAGGACAAACAAGAAAGGCAAACGUCCUCGCCAACAACCGACUACAUUUGUAAUACCUACAAGAAGGAAAUCAAGGCAAGCAGAGUCAAUGAGUUCAUUGCACAUGUUAAUGCUUGCAAGUUUUUGGUAUGAACCAAUUAGAUAAUUAAAAGUUUAGACUGGCAAAAUUGAAGGCUUGUUUUUUAAUAAUGUUUGUAUUUUUUGGAAAUAAUUGUGGGUAAAAAAAGUGUGUGGAAAUACGUGUAAUGUUGUUUAAAAACUGAUGUGUAAGUUCAUGUACCAAACUGACUUGAUGGAAUUGACUUAGGCGGAGGCAGAGCGCAAGGUUGCGUCGCUCAAGGAGGAAGACAUCUGAGGAGGUGAGCAUGCACAGGAUCUAUAUACCCUUUGGUAUAGGGUAGUUUGCUUGAGUUAAGUCCUAAUAACUCUACUUAUAUUAAUUAAGACUUUUGUGGUUUUGAAAUCUGCUACGAUAUUGGCUAGUUUGCUAGAGUUAAGUCCUGUAACUCUACCUAUAUCAAUUAUGACUUUAUGGUUUUGAAAAUGUAUUGAAUAAUAAACCCAAACAGUACAGUAGUUGACUGAAUGAUUGUUGGUUUCCAAGUUCAA